rnacentral:rRNA from 1 species
AGCAGCCGCGGUAAUUCCAGCUCCAAUAGCGUAUAUUAAAGUUGUUGCAGUUAAAAAGCUCGUAGUUGAAUUUCGGGAUCAAGUCGUCGGUCGUGCUUAGGUACGUACUGGCGUCAUUGAUUUCUCCCUUCUGACGAACCAUGAUGUCAUUAAUUUGGUGUUAUGGGAAAUCAGGACUGUUACUUUGAAAAAAUUAGAGUGUUUAAAGCAGGCUCACGCUUGAAUACAUUAGCAUGGAAUAAUGAAAUAGGACGUUCGAUCCUAUUUUGUUGGUUUUAGGAUCAACGUAAUGAUUAAUAGGGAUAGUUGGGGGCAUUAGUAUUCAAUUGUCAGAGGUGAAAUUCUUGGAUUUAUUGAAGACUAACUACUGCGAAAGCAUUUGCCAAGGAUGUUUUCAUUAAUCAAGAACGAAAGUUAGGGGAUCGAAGACGAUCAGAUACCGUCGUAGUCUUAACCAUAAACUAUAGCCGACUAGGGAUCGGAUGAUGUUAAUUUUUAAUGACUCAUUCGGCGCCUUAC